rnacentral:rRNA from 1 species
AGAACGCUGGCGGCGUGCCUUACACAUGCAAGUCGAGCGAGGCCUCACCUUCUGGNGCCUGUCCUAGCGGGGAACGNGGGAGAAACACGCGUGNCAACCUGGCCCUAGCACUGGGGAUNACUCCGGGAAACCGGGGCUUAUACCCGGAUACCANCUUACGAAGGCAUAUUGUGAGGCGGAAAAGGCUACUGCUUUGGGAUGGGCCCNNGGCCUAUCAGCUUGUUGGUGGGGUAACGGCCUACCAAGGCUNCGACNNGUAGCCGGCCUGAGAGGNCGACCGGCCACACUGGGACUGAGACACGGCCCAGACUCCUACGGGAGGCAGCAAGUGGGGAAUAUUGCACAAUGGGCGAAAGCCUGAUGCAGCAACGCCCGCGUGAGGGAUGACGGCCUUCGGGUUGUAAACCUCUUUACCAGGAA